UGAGGAAUAUUGGGCAAUGCCCGCAAGGGUGACCCAGCAACGCCGCGUGGAGGAUGAAUGUCGUAAGAUUGUAAACUCCUGUUAGAGGGGAAGAAUAGUACCGGUUGGACCGGUAUAUGACUGUACCCUCAGAGAAAGCCCCGGCUAACUACGUGCCAGCAGCCGCGGUAAUACGUAGGGGGCAAGCGUUGUCCGGAUUUACUGGGUGUAAAGGGCGCGCAGGCGGGAUAAAAAGUCAGUGGUGAAAUCCUACAGCUUAACUGUAGAACUGCCUUUGAUACUUUUAUUCUUGAGUUCGGGAGAGAGAGACGGAAUUCCUGGUGUAGUGGUGAAAUACGUAGAUAUCUGGAAGAACACCAGUUGCGAAGGCGGUCUCUUGGUCCGACACUGACGCUGAGGCGCGAAAGCGUGGGGAGCAAACA
rnacentral:rRNA from 1 species